AUUCUAUCUACAGCUGCUGAAGUUUCCAGUUACCAUGCAGGAAGACAGGUAGGAGGAGAUCAUCUGGCAAAGAGAUUUGCAGAGUGUCGGGUGACCGGCAAAGAGAUCUGCAAAGUGUCAGUUGAAGACGACGGGAGGAGUCGCAGAGGAAUUAGUGACUGGAGAAUAGCAUGCAGGAGUGGGUGAUCCCUGAAUAGCUGCCCUGGGAGGAGAGCUGCGGACACAUGCUCCAAAUGUUGGGACAAA